rnacentral:misc_RNA from 1 species
AGUAACCUCCUGGACGUGACGUGGGGAGGUUGUGCGCUGCUCCUCUGAAAAGCAACCCACCAGCCUCUUUUGCAUUUUAUAACGAAGAUAUUUAUUAUUAGUGAAUUAUUAAGAGGAAGAUUGACUUUAAUAUCGUCUAAGGAGGAAAAUUGCAUUGAAUAAGGUGCUACGGGCGUGCCAUGGGCGUGUGUGGGCGUGUGGCGGGGGCGUGGGUGGUGGUGGCGGCGGCGGUGGUGGUGGUGGCGGCGGGUUCCACUGUCCCUAAGCGAGGCGUCAAUGAGAUCGAAGCCUUUGUGAAGAGACUCGAGUAUGAAGCAGCCAGGGAGAGGGACGGGGGAAGGUACACAGUGGAGGGGUUGGGGGGGGUGGAGGGCCUGGUGGAGGUGAAUCUGAACCUCCUCCCUGAUGAAGUAAUUGUCAAGGAAAUAGAAGAAGGAUUAGACGAAGAGUUUGCAUUAGUAGACACAUCACAAGGGGAGAAGGAAGAGGAGGGAACAGGAGGCAGGAAGAACAACACUAACAACAUGGAAAGCAGGCAGCGGUCACUGAUCUACCAGGGGGUGUAUUUGCCCGAUGCUCGCUUCAACGCCUUCGCUGACGGGGUGAUGAUCAACAUGGUGGCGGAGAUGAAGAGGAAGGAGAUGGACCCGCUGUAUUUCCGAGUGUUCCAGCGCGGUAUUAUUGAACACGUGCCUCUAAGUAGCUCCACCACGCCCUCCACCUCCACCUCCUCCACCUUCACCACCACCACCACCACCGCCGCCUCCACAUCAAGAAGAGGAAGGCAGCGUGGCGAGGCAAUAGGCGGGGGUGUCAUAAGAGGGCUAACCAAUGUGAGAAGAUUUGGCAACGCUGAGGUUCAAGUCGCUGGCAACACUACUUUGGUGCGCGGCAAGUGGCUGAUGGGACCGUUAGACCUGAUCAUUGACUUCCGCGCAGGACUCUCUAGGACACUCGGGGCAUAACAAGGGUGCGCACUGGCCUGCUGGCGGUACAGUUCGACACACUCACCUCUGUUGACCGAUUCGGCGCCCAAAUGUCUGACUUUAACAUUGUCAGCCCUCUAUACGACUACAUGCCUUACUACGGGAACAGAACAGCAGCACAGCAGGCCACAGCAGAGAGCAUCGUCCGCCACCUCUUCUCCUCCGCCUCCUUUGUGAGCGAGAUGCUGAAGGGGAGUUUUUGGGUAGCCUCCUAUGACAAGAUCGUUCCCCAGUUCGGCGCUGACGGAAACUAUUAUAAUGUUUUGAAGUAUUUGUUUAGUUCGGCGCCCUCUGCUUCGGCUUUUAAGAGUGGUGGUGGUGGUGGUGGUGGUGGUGGUGG